UUAGAGUUUGAUCCUGGCUCAGAUUGAACGCUGGCGGCAGGCUUAACACAUGCAAGUCGAGCGGUUUAGUUAGCUUGCUAACUAGAUAGCGGCGAACGGGUGAGUAAUGCCUAGGAAUCUGCCUGAUAGUGGGGGACAACGUGUGGAAACGCACGCUAAUACCGCAUACGUCCUACGGGAGAAAGGGGGCUUUUCGGAGCUCUCGCUAACAGAUGAGCCUAGGUCAGAUUAGCUAGUUGGUAGGGUAAAGGCCUACCAAGGCGACGAUCUGUAGCGGGUCUGAGAGGAUGAUCCGCCACACUGGAACUGAGACACGGUCCAGACUCCUACGGGAGGCAGCAGUGGGGAAUAUUGGACAAUGGGCGAAAGCCUGAUCCAGCCAUGCCGCGUGUGUGAAGAAGGCCUUUUGGUUGUAAAGCACUUUAAGCGGGGAGGAGGGCUCUGUGGUUAAUACCCAUGGAAGUCGGACGUUACCCGCAGAAUAAGCACCGGCUAACUCUGUGCCGGCAGCCGCGGUAAUACAGAGGGUGCGAGCGUUAAUCGGAAUUAC
rnacentral:rRNA from 1 species